ensembl:snRNA U6 U6 spliceosomal RNA
ACAAACAGUGCUCACUUUGGCAACACUAAACUUGGAACAACAUGGAGAAGAUUAGCAUGGUCCCUGCACAAGGAUGACACACAGAUUCCUGAAGCAUUCCAUAUUUUU